CAUGGCGAAUGCCUUGGCACUAGGAGCCGAAGAAGGACGCGUUAAGCUGCGAUAAGCUUUGGGUAGGCGCAAAUAGCCUGUGAUCCAAAGAUUUCCGAAUGGGGGAACCCACAUAGUAACAACUAUGUACUGCAUACUGAAUAAAUAGGUAUGCAGAGGUAGACCCGGGGAACUGAAACAUCUAAGUACCCGGAGGAAGAGAAAGAAACAUCGAUUUCCUAAGUAGCGGCGAGCGAAAGGGAAAGAGCCCAAACCCAGGUCUUUGAUCUGGGGGUUGAGGAUAGAUCAUAAAUACUGCAAUUCCUUAAUUGAAGAUAGCUGGAAAGCUGCUCCGCAGAAGGUAAUAGGCCUGUAAAUGAAAAGGAAAAACAGUCAGAUCUAAUCCAGAGUACCACGAGACACGUGAAACCUUGUGGGAAGCUGGGAGGACCACCUCCCAAGGCUAAAUACUACCUAGUGACCGAUAGUGAAGAAGUACCGUGAGGGAAAGGUGAAAAGAACCCCGGAAGGGGAGUGAAAUAGAACCUGAAACCGUGUGCCUACAACCGGUCGAAGCACUUUAUAUGUGUGACGGCGUGCUUUUUGUAGAACGAGCCAACGAGUUACGAUAUGUAGCAAGGUUAAGUACUUAAGGUACGGAGCCGAAGGGAAACCAAGUCUGAAUAGGGCG
rnacentral:rRNA from 1 species